GACAAUUCGAAAGCGUUUCAAGGUUUUCUUAGAGUCCAGUCUCCCUGUAGUUCAGUAUUAUGAAUCUAUUGGGAAAGUACAUAAGAUUGAUGCUGCCAGGCCAAUUGAAGAAGUAUUUGAGUCAGUUAAAGCUGUUUUCACAUCAAUAAAUGAGAAGGAUGACUGAGAAUCUUGCUUCUAUACCAAUGCCAUUAAUGUUAUUCUCUAUUGAGGCUUGCAAGCCAAGUCCUGU
rnacentral:misc_RNA from 1 species